ensembl:lncRNA
CUGCUGCCCUCGCUUCGCCGCUCUCCCACACCGCUCCUUCCUUCUCUGCUUCUCCUUUCUCCCCUUGCUUUCUCCCUCCCUCUCUUCUUCCCCUCCCCUUCCGUCCUCCCCCUCCAUCCCGCCCUUUCGCGGCGGGGGGGGGUGGGGGGGUGGGGGGGUGUCUCCCUGGGUAUCAUCGGUCCUCGGCGCUGCCGGCAGUCCGGACGGGCGGGGUGUCCGCGGCUACCAGCGCCCCCUCCCAGUGGAGGGAAUGGCAAAGACACCCACCACGCCCCCCUAAAUCUGCCUUCAAUUCCCGUCUCGGCAACACCACCCCGGGCAGUGGGGAGUCGAGGCUUCCCCUCGGGACCGGCACCGGUUGCCGGCACAGAGAGUGCGAGGCGUGGGUCUCCCUGUGGCCAGGUACUGCCGCCCGGGGUGGGGACACAGCGCACCCAGAGCUGCGCGCUGACUCAGGGGUGCCGGGGCGCCUUGGAGGGGCUUAUCGCCAUCUGCAGGCGGGCUGCGGCGGCCCCGGGGCGCGAAGUCCGCGGGCAGCUCUGCUGGACAUUUCUGACCGCGGGUCCACCCACACUUUUUGAGGGGCUAGACCCGAGACCCCGUGCGGGACUUCGUUCUCGUCCCCUACCCAGUCGCUGCCGGCUCUGUGCUGCUGGGGUUAUCCGGAGAGCAGCAGCAACCCUGUCGCUGAGCCAGCCUGCCACCGCAGGUGCAGAGUGAGAGGGCAUAGCCAACGGCGUUGCACAGUAUCUCUGGAGGGUUUGCUUUAGAAUCCAGUGCCGGGCAAGGCUCCUACUCAGUCGCUUACGAGCGUAGUAGCAGUGAAAGUCCCACUCGUGAUGAUUCAUGACAUCGCCCCAACGUCCUGCUGCGGCCGUCUGUCGUCGGGGGCUCCGCGCCAGCGCGCGGCUCCGCGUGUCCGUCCACAGAGAAACACGACAGUGCCCAGCCUCCCCCCCGGGGCGGCCGAGGCGGAAAUUACAGUGCAACGCACUAUUGAAAUCACUAUCCUGAGAAGGAAAAAACAACAACAACAAAUUGCAUUGCGGUUCCUCCUGAUAGGAAGGGGAAAUGCUGAGACUGAAAGUGAAAUGAGAAAAAUAUCUUUGGGAACGAUCUUGACUUUUUUAAAAGGCAUCAGAUUGACACAUCGUAAACAAAUCUGCUAAUAACUGGUAAAUAAACUAAACAAUCCGUGCACCUGGGAAGCAUUUGUCAUUUAAAGAAAAGGGAAAACAAACAAACAAAUAAAACGACUAAUGCGAUUGACAGACUUUACCUGUCCGCUACAGGUAAAAGAAAGUCCUCGGACUCACACGGCAGGCUUUCCACAGUCCUGAGGCUCAGUAUUUUUAACGAUGUGAGAACAUCGUUCUAAUCUGUAAUUGUGCCAUGCAAGCUCAGAAAACUCAGAAAGCCAAAUAAUUGCUUAACAGUAAGAUUUUGCCAGAUUUGAACUUAAUCAAACUUAAGAUGAGUACCACAGAGCCUGGCUUGCAUGCACUCAGGUUUCCUCAUCUUCUCUGUCAGCACUUAAAAAUAAGGCUGAGUUCGUAACUUCACUAAAUUUGGAUGGAUUUCGGCCAGUCCUCUUUCUGAACGGCCGAGGCUCCAUUUCUCUGCCUCUGAACUGGCAAUCUUUAAAAAAUCAAGGCACAGAGAUACAGGGUAUGUGUGGACAAGCAGAUCCGAUCAGUACCCCUGCCUUUCUGUCGCGUUAGCUGACCCUGCCAACGUUGCUUGUGUCUGAUUGCAUGAAGACUUAACGCUUCCGAGACACAGAUAAGACAAUUCUCGCUGGUAAACUGAAAUAUAAGUAUGCUUUGCACCUUCACAACCAAAAUCUAUUUCAUCCUAAAUGUCUCCUCAGAUGCACAGCACGCUCGGCUGGAUGUUUAAAGACUCUUUCCCUUCGGUGAAAUGAAAGUUGAUACUUCUAGCUGUUCAGAGCCAGCCUGAUAAAAAGAAGAAAGUGCGUUUCUGGGAGGCAGGAAAAGUACGAGGAGAUCGUCCCAGCUUUCUUGCAUGGCGGUGGGCAAACCAUUAGCCUAAUUAGAUUAGCCUGAAUUUGCGUUUCAGAGCCACCGGGGGUGCGGGUUUUAGGAAUCCACGAAGGGUUCUCGGGGAAAACGUUUUCAGAGAUGUUUUGCACCGACACGGCCGAGGGAAGUAAACCUCAGACGCUUUACGCCGAUAUCUUCUGGCGGGGAAAAGUUGAUAGGGUCCUUUUCCAAUUGAAAUCUCUUAAACCGGCUUUAGUUUUCGGAUUUAUUUUUUGUUCAGAGACUGAAAGUCAUUUCACCCUGAAUUAAACUGCGAGGCAAUUUAGGCAACCAUGGAGGAUGGGGAGGGAGUAGGAGGUGGGAGAUUUACAUGAAGGGAAGGCUCACUUCUGUGAUGCGAUAGCGCCUUUAAUCCCACUAAGCAUUUAAACAGCAAAAUGCUGUUUAAAUUUUCAAACAACUUAAUGAGGUGCUAAUGUGUUUAGACAACCUGUGUGAAGCACCUAGGGAAAUUCCUUAAGGGAAGCCAUAACCUCAUGAAAUCCGUGCCAGCUUGAGAGCAAAUGAAACUGUAACACUGCACAGCCUUGAAAAGUCCAAUCGAAAUAUUAAUGUUACUCAUUUAUGACGCAGUUGCAGAAAACAAGAGGUUCCUCGGCAAAUAAAAAUAGAAGAAGUGUUAACAGCACCGAUAGAAGUUGUUUGCUGAGCAAUUUUGAUCUACACCUUUCAGAAAAAGAGUGAGCUACCUACUCCUGCUUUCUCAUCAUGACUGUAUUAUCUACUUUCUAAUGAGAAACUAAAAUGCUGCAAUUUGGUCAUAUUGUGCUGUUCAUGGGAUUGCUUACAGUACUUUAGUUUGAAAAGUAUUUUGGCUUUGUCUAUUUACCAUUCACUAGGAUAAGAUACAGCUUUUGUGUUACACCAGCAAAUGUAUUUAAGGAAUGAUUAUAGAAUGAACGGGCUUCACUAGGGAGCCAAGGAAAUUAAUGUUCCCUGAAAGGGAUCCAUUAUGAGCAGUUUUUUAUGGGAGAAGUUCCAAACAGGUGGAAGAGAAAGUGCGCCAGGAGACAACCUACCAACGACAGACUUGAAUUUUCUCAUUAGGCUUCUUGGAACUACAGCCGACAGGAAUUAGCACCGCUUCUCCUUGUUAUAAGCCUUCUGAAAAACAGCUACAACUUUAAAAUACAGAAAAGCCAACGGGAAUUUCAUGUCUGGAGUGACGGUAUAGUUGAAACAUGACCUCUCUACAAAGGCAUAUGCAUUUCACUGUGAGAGAUUUGCUUUGAGAGAUAGCUGCUUAAUGUUUCUCACCUUUCAUAAACCUCAAAUUCAUCACAAUACUUUCUCAAAAUUAACUUUGCCCUGUAAAAGGCCAAAAGCUAAAAGAAAGGCACAGAAGAGUUGAAGGCCAUUUCUAGUAUUGCAGUCACACAGCAAUCAGCUAAACUGGCCUAGAGCAAAACAAGCCUGAAUUCUGCAGUCUGCUUACUCCUUGCUUUGUGGGUAAGAUGAACCAGCCAGGAACCCGAGCAAUGUUCAGUACCAGUAGCAGACCCAUUCCUUCUGUCUUCUUAAUAGCUACAGGGGAAAAUAAAUCCUUUUUGAACCCUACAAUUAGUCUGUGCAGAAACAAUAGACUACAAACUCAGCACAGCAGCAGAAAUAAAGGAGUACUAAACUUCUGAAUUCUGAAUCACCUCUGUGCUAUGCCUGAAUAUUUUCCAUAAAUUUAUCAGGUUCCAUCUUUAAACAGUUAUUGGUUUUCCUCCCCUAUUCUCACGUGUCUAUCCAAAAACUUGUCUACUAGUUAGAAGUCUUUUCACUGAUAAUGUGAUUCCUAGCAGCUCUACACCGCUCUCCUCUAAUUUACACUGUUGUUCCUACAACUGUGGGCUAUAUUUUGAAUAACAACUGGCACUAAGCAGAUGCAAAGCUGAUUUAAGCCACUUGGCUGAUUCUAAAUUGCCUUUAUGAAGAAAUUCUUAACUCAGAGGGCAGUGAGGCACCGGCCCAGGCUGCCCAGAGAUGUUGCCCCACCCCUGGAGGUGUUCAGGACCGGGCUGGGUGGGGCUGUGAGCAUCCUGAGUUGCUGGAAAGUGCCCAUGCCCAGAGGGAUUGGGAUUGGGAUUGGAAGAUCUUUAGAGUCCCUUCCGACUCAAAGCAUUCUAUGAUUCUACAGUUUUGCGGAGGCCACCUUCAGAAAUGUGGAAGUUUGUUGGCUACUCUUCUGUGCAGUCUUGUUGAACCAGCUCAGAGAUGGCUAGCUGUGGCCUAGGAGGAGCUGUGCAGUGCCCAGAUAUUCCAGUAGCUCUGCAAGAAUCAGUUUGGGUCUAACAGAGGGUAUUCUGACCCCUAACCUGGAAGCCUGGAAUGGGAUGGGGUGCAGAUAAAUCACAAUGAUUCAGGUGGAGAAAGUUAGAGACCUACUACUACACCUGGACUAUCAUUAGUCCAUGGGGCAAGAUGGAAUCCACCCGAGGGUGCUGAGGGAGCUGACAGAGGUGAUCGCCAAGGUGUUUUCCAACAUAUAUCAGUGUUCCUGUUCAAUCAGAGAGGUGCCAGAGGAUUGGUUUGCCCAUGUGACUCCCAUCUUCAAGAAGGGUGGUAAGGAGGAUCCAAGGAACUACAGGCUUGUCAGCCUGACCUUGGUGCCUGAAAAGGUUAUGAACAGAUCGUAUUGAGUGAGAUCACACAAUGUGUGGGACAACCAGAGGAUCAGGCCCAGGCAGCAUGAGUUCAUGAAAGGCAGGUCCUGCUUGACAAACCUAAUCUCCUUUAAUUGUGAUGAGGUGACCUAACUGAUGGAUGAGUAAAAGGUUGUUGAUGCAGUCUACCUAGACUUCAGCACAGCCUUUGACACUGUCUCCCACCAUAUUCUCCUGGAGAAUCUGGCAGCCCAUGGCUUGUACAUGUACACUCUUUGCUGGGUAAAGAACUGGCUAGUGCUGAAUAGACUUAAAUCCAGCUUGUGACUGGUCAUGGGUGGUGCUCCCCAGGGACAGUGGGGAUACUGGAUACUGGGACCUGUCCUGCUUAAUAACUUUAUUGCUGAUCUGGAUGAGGGAAUUGAGUGCACCCUCAGCAAGUCUGCAGCUGACACCAAGCUGGGAGGAAGUGUCGAUCUGCCUGGAAGUGAGAAGGCCCCAUCCAGCUCAGCUGGAUGAACCAGUGGAAUGAAGUUCAACAAGACCAAGUGCUGGGUCCUGCACUUUGGCCACAACAAUGCCAUGCAGUGUUGCAGGCUUGCAGUAGAGUGGCUGGAAGGCUUGUUUAGAAGAAACAGACCUGGGGUGUUGGUCAAUACUUGGCUAAACAUGAGCACACAUGUCCAUGUGGCCAAGAAGGCCAGUGACAUUCUGGCUUGACGUUGGAUUGAUGUUGCCAGGAAAUAAUCAGUUCUGUAUAUUAAUUGUAACAACUCAUGAGUUCUCUCAAGUUGACCUGGGAAGUUACCAGGAAAAUAGGCCAUUGGUAAAAUCUAGGAUAUGGAUGAGUAGUGGUUCAUGCCCACUGCAGGCCUCUGUCCUUCACCUCACUUUUGAUCCAUUCAGCAGAUGAUCCUUAAAGGAUGUAAGCAAAGGAAAACUUGGAAUAAGAGUAAAUUGAUACUUUGGCUUACUAUUACACUUGGAAACACAAUAACAUAUUACAUAACUUAAGAAUUUACUAUCAAAGUAAGUUGAACAGACUAUGCUUACUACAAAGAAAACAAGCUAAUGGAGCUGUACUGAAUUGAGAUGAUCCUAUCUUAAACAUCACCAGAAGAGUAUGUUUUUGUGUUAUUUCUUGUGUCCUGUUGUGAUUCCUUGAUGACAUUAGUUCAAGACUUUUUUUUCAAAUGUUUUUUCCUUCCUGCUCUCCUAUCCCAUUUAUCACACUUUCUAUGUUCCUAGGUGAUAGGCAAAACUUCUGUAAUCUCAAGAGCUUUAUCACAUCUGCCACAGUCAACCAAAAUUCCUUUUCUACUUGCAAUGGUCAGCUGAACUAACUCCCUUCAUUUUCUGUUAUCUUUCAAUUAUGUUCAAAAUAAGUCAAAAAAAUUUUGACCUACAAUUACCCUACUAUCUGUCUCUCAUCUGGCUACAUGGGGCCAGAUUUUGGGGCCGUCAAUGCUGCAUGAAUGUUUUCCAGUGGAAGCAUGAGGUGCACUUCUAAUACACAGCGUCCUGCCAAAACUUUGGGAACCUUCAUCUAGAACAUAGGUGUACAACCUUUUGGCUCACCUGGUCUGCUUUUAGUGAACAGAAAUUGUCUUGGGCUACAUAUAUGUAGGUCUUACAAAAAAUAAUGCCUCCUGUUUAUUUCCACAGAAACCACAACAAAGAGCAUAAUAACACAAUAACAGUUUUUAACAGAGCAAAUUCUCAGCUACAAAACACUAUUUUUUGACAUUGUCAUCACCACAAACUGUUCAUUUUCACCAGAGAUGAGUAGGAACCUGCAUGCCAUGCUCAUAGCAAUUUGUACCAGCAAAGGUGACCCAGUGUCACCACUGCUGAAACACACCACCCACCACCUCACUGUGCUCAUAUUCAAUGUUUGGUCUCUAUAAACAUUCAGCAAGCAUUGAUGAAUGUCAAUGGGUGCAACUUUUUCCACAUGGAGGAAUUUAGUGACACACCUUUGCUCCAUAUGCACGUCAUUUUGUCAGACUGCCCUCAUACUGCCAUCUGGCACAUAGCAACAACAUGCAACAGGAUAUUGGUUGGAAAGUUCAACCUCUACUGCCGUGCAAAUAUCUGCCCCGAUAUUAUGGGCCAACAUAAUAAAUCAGGAAGUAUUACUUUCAGAACAGCCCUUGCAAAAUAUACAAUAUUAUAAAUAGAUAAGUAACAAAACAUUUUAAUUUUAAAUAUUUUUAUUAAAACAUCGAGAAAAAAAAGGGAGAGAGGAACAAAAACAUAGGACUAGUGCGACAUUUGACCUUGUUUUUGUGAAAUUAACACACCAGUCUGGUUUGGUGGCAGUGGUUGAAAUUCUUAGUGAGGUCUCAAGGUGUUUAUCAGAGAUUUUUGAUGAAAUUUUACUCUUCCUGUACUUCAUCCUUGACAAUAAUUGUUCAGAAUAUGUGUGCUACCAAGAAGCAAUGACAUGAAUAAGUUGUUACUGUGAAGUGAAUAAAAUUUUUCCCUAAGAUAGGGAUUAUGAAAGUCUGGUGAAGAGAUGCGAUCAUAUUUUUGAGUUGAAUAUUUGAUUGCAACCCUAUAUAUUCAAUCUGAGUAUUUGCAGGUAAUUUAUUUAUAUAAACUGAAAAAGGGCUCACAAACACAAAUAGAUGAUUUAUUUUUAUUUUUAUUUUUUGGCAGCCUUGAAACCCCAAGCUGUGGCAUGAGGUUGAUGUGCCCAAGGGACAGGAUGCCAUCCAGAGAGACUUAGACAGGCUCAAAGAGUGGGCCCAGGUGAACCUCAUGAGGUUCAAGAAAGCCAGGUGCAGGGUCUUGCACCUGGGUCAAGGCAAUCCUCACUAACAAUACAAGUGGGAGGAUGAAGGGAUUGUGUGCAGCCCUGCUGAAAAGGCUGUGGGGUAUUAGUUGAUGAGAAGCUGGACAUGAGCCAGCAAUGUGCUCUCACAGCCUAGAAAGCCAACUGGAUCCUAGGCUGUAUCAAAAGAAGCAUGGCCAGCAGGGCAAGGGAGGUGAUCGUGCCUCUCUGCUCUGUGCUGGUGAGGCCUCACCUGGAGUACUGCAUCCAGAGGUGGAGUCUUCAGUACAGGAGAGACAUGUUGAAAUGUGUCCAGAGGAGCACCACAAAAAUGCUCCAAGAGAUGGAGCACCUCUCUGAUGAGGACAGGCUGAGAGAUGGCGUUGCCAUCAUGGGGAUAAAUUUACUCAUAUUUGAUUAUUACAAGACAAUGAAAGAGCUAAGGAGGAUGAUAUUUAUGAUUCUUUGUGUCAGCACUAUGAUUCAAGUUAAUAAUCUAUCAGGAUUUAACCCAUAAAAUGGCACCCACGGUAAAAACCUACCCCUACCAUUCCUUAUAUAGCUCAAAUCCUGGAUGUUCAUUUAGGGUUUUGUGCUUCAAAAUGUGACUACAUUCCUAUUCUGUGGGGACUCCUAUUACGACCAUUCACUGAGUGAUGUGUAAUUAUAUGAUGUUCAAAAACCUUACAUGAGGAGAAAGGUCUGCUCUUUAUUUCUGCCACCAGAAAUUCUGCCAUUUAAGAGUUGUGAGGCCAAAAUUCUGUACCUGGCUUUUCACAACAAUGAAGCACAAUUUUUUAUUUUAAUCUACAGAAAGACAAGGUUAUUGGAUUGAAACUACUGAAGUCUAAGGGUAGGGUAGUUCUUAGGGAGAUUUAGCCUCACCCCUUUUUUUCUGAAGUCUGUGUAGGUAAAAUGCAAGUUGCAGGUGGGAGAAACUCCACUCAUUGAGAUGCGUAAUCCAUCAGUGGUCAGAAAUAGCUAUUUCAGAGGAAGACAUAAAGCCCCACUGUAAAAUUGCAUUCGAUAUUCCUACUGGAGAAAUUAUGGAAGGAUUUCCUCUGUCCACCAGUUCAUGAUUAAUAUAUGCUUAAAAACGAGAUUUGUAUCUCUUUACAUAAUUUUGUACCCUAACAUAAUAAAGGUCAUAAAACUGUCUGGUUUAAGAAGAAAACUUAUUUUGCUCUUUAUUUCACAUCUGGCAACAAGUUGAAUAUUUUGAUUAUUUGUUGUGUAAAGGAUUAUAAAGGUUUUUACAUUUCAUUAGCCAGCAUUCUAUUUGUGUAUAAAGUGAUUUAACACCUUCAAAUACCUUCUACAUCCCUAUGUUAUCCACAUCUUCUAC